rnacentral:rRNA from 1 species
GGUGAACGCUAGCGGCAGGCCUAAUACAUGCAAGCCAAGGGCUGGCUGGGUUAGAACUACCUCAAACAACCGGCGGACGGGGGCGUAACGCGUAUGCAACCUAACCCAUCCAGGAGGAGAGCCCUCGGGAACGAAGACUAAUACUCCAAAAGCUUGCUUAGAGGCAUCUUUAAGCAAUUAAAGUCGCACGGCGGGAGAGGAUGGGCGCGCGUCCGAUUAGCGCGUGGGUGAGGGAAAGGCGCACCAAGGCGAUGCUCUGCAGGGGUUCUGAGAGGAAGAUCCCCCGGACGGGCACUGAGACACGGGCCCGACUGCGACGGGAGGCAGCAGUAAGGAAUAUUAGGCGAUGAGGCCAAGCCUGAUCCAACCAUGCCGGGUGCAGGAAGAAUGCCCUUUGAGUUGUAAACUGCUGUUGAGAGAGAGAAAUAGGUGCGAUGCGUCGCUUGAUGAUAGUACUUCUAGAAUAAGCAUCGGCUAACUUCGUG